AAAGAACAUUACAAAUCAUUUCUUUGUGGUUGUUUUCCUUUGGAACAUCUGUGAACAAACAUUCUGUUUUGUCUUUCUGAUACAUGAAAAGCGUCCAAAAAUCAUUUGGAAUUGUUGUGUUAAACCCUGAUAUAAUAAUUUUAAGUUUCUGCAAUGAUAAAGUCAUCAGGUUUCUGCAUGCUUUUCUGACACAUCAUGUACAUUUUUUUUCUACUUGUUUGUCUUUGUUCACAAAAA